rnacentral:rRNA from 1 species
AAUGAACGCUGGCGGCGUGGAUUAGGCAUGCAAGUCGAACGAGAAAGCGGUCUUCGGAUCGCCGGUACAGUGGCGGACGGGUGAGUAACGCGUGGGAAACGUACCCUCGAGUGGGGAACAACAACUCUAACGGGUUGCUAAUACCGCAUAACAUUGCAGGUCGCAUGGCCUGCUCUCAAAGGUGGCCUCUACUUGUAAGCUGCCGCUUGAGGAACGUCCCGCGUCCGAUUAGCUUGUUGGUAGGGUAACGGCCUACCAAGGCGACGAUCGGUAGCCGGCCUGAGAGGGUGGUCGGCCACACUGGAACUGAGACACGGUCCAGACUCCUACGGGUGGCAG